CGAGGAACCUGAUUGGCCAAGCCGCGAACCGCCGUAGCGAACGUUAGCUACGUCAUACAGUAAACUAACGCAGCAUGAAAGUUCAUCAAUAUUUUUCAUAUGAACACUGAAUCAACUGACUGCGUAGUGUGAAAAAGGUCGCGUGUAGUGAUGAAAUAACUUAGAAUUAUUACAUAGCUCAGCAGAGUUGAUGGAGACCAAAGUUUCAUUCCUCAGGUGGCGUUGCACACCUGUGACUGCUGAAUAUCUUUGAUGUAUGCAUGAGGGAGGAUUUCCUGAAGACCAAAGAGGCCAUUACCCAGGGGCCAUUAGGCCUCUAGUAGAGCAUGUCAAUGAGUGCUGAGUCUUGCUCUGUUUUCACAUGCAGCCACUUUUCUAUACUAAGAGCGAGGGGAGUGAGUCAUCAUCAUCAGGAUGAAAUGCUCUGACAUUUGAGCAGGAAAGUCCCAGAGUGCCUUGCAGCACAACAUUGCUGGGAAUGUUUGUGUAUUACAGUAAAGGAGGUGCAAAUGUGUUAUGCCU